CCCUUAGAUGCUCUGGGCCGCACGCGCGCUACACUGGUCGAUGCAACGAGUUUCUUUCCUUGGCCGACAGGCCUGGGCAAUCUUUGAACAUCGAUCGUGAUCGGGAUAGAUUCUUGUAAUUUUUGAUCUUAAACGAGGAAUUCCUAGUAAACGCAAGUCAUCAGCUCGCAUUGAUUACGUCCCUGCCCUUUGUACACACCGCCCGUCGCACCUACCGAUUGAAUGGUCCGGUGAAAUCUCCGGACUGGCGUGAGUCGGAGCAAUCUGACAAACACCGGAAAGUUGAUUAAACCUUACCAUUUAGAGGAAGGUGAAGUCGUAACA
rnacentral:rRNA from 1 species